GACGAACGCUGGCGGCGUGCUUAACACAUGCAAGUCGAACGGAAAGGCCUGCUUUCCCUUGUGGAUUGCGGGUACUCGAGUGGCGAACGGGUGAGUAACACGUGAGUGAUCUGCCCCCAACUUGGGUAUAAGCCUGGGAAACUGGGUCUAAUUCCCGAUAGGACUGCAGGGUGGUGCCUGUGGUGGAAAACGAUUUUCUAGUGGUUGGGGAUGAGCUCGCGGCCUAUCAGCUUGUUGGUGGGGUAAUGGCCUACCAAGGCGGCGACGGGUAGCCGGCCUGAGAGGGUGGACGGCGACAUUGGGACUGAGAUACGGCCCAGACGGCUACGGGAGGCAGCAGUGGGGAAUAUUGCACAAUGGGCGGAAGCCUGAUGCAGCGAGGCAGCGUGGGGGAUGACGGCCUUCGGGUUGUAAACUCCUUUCGACCGAGAGGAAGCCACCUGGUUGGAAGGGUGGUGACGGUAGUGGUAGAAGAAGCACCGGCUAACUACGUG
rnacentral:rRNA from 1 species